rnacentral:rRNA from 1 species
UGACCUCGGAUCAGACGUGAAUACCCGCUGAACUUAAGCAUAUCACUAAGCGGAGGAAAAGAAACUAACAAGGAUUCCCUUAGUAACGGCGAGUGAACAGGGAUGAGCCCAGCACCGAAGCCUGUGGCCAUUUGGUUACUAGGCAAUGUGGUGUUUAGGUCGUUCCGCAGAGACACUGCUCCUCUCUAAGUCCAUCAAUGAGUACGGUUGUACUGACAUGGCCCAUGGAGGGUGAAAGGCCCGUAAGAGAGGAGUUUUGGUAUAACAGUGUCUCUCUGGAUUGACCUUGGAGUCGGGUUGUUUGGGAAUGCAGCCCUAAGCGGGUGGUAAACUCCAUCCAAGGCUAAAUACAAGCACGAGUCCGAUAGCGAACAAGUACCGUGAGGGAAAGUUGAAAAGUACUUUGAAGAGAGAGUAAACAGUGCGUGAAACCGCUUAGAGGUAAACGGGUGGAGUUGAACUGCAAUCUCUGAGAAUUCAGCUGGGGAAUUUUGCUUGAGCUUGGUCAAAUGGGCAGGGCCCCGGGGUAUGCUUAUUUGCAUGUUCUGACCUUCGGGUUGGGAUGCGCGUUGCUCUUAUCAAGGGCUGCGCGCCUCGGGUGUCCGGCUGGCUCUAUCGCCAGUGCACUUUCUCGGAGUGAUCACCACGACCGGCGCUGCUGCUUGGCUGUUAUUGUUAACCCGAACAUUCAUCGUCCUUGUGGCGUUGGGUGGUCGACACGGCAGGUAACUGGGGGCUUGCUUCGGCUUGCUUCUCGGUGUAUGUCGGCUUUAACGGUUCUAUGCGGUGUGUCGGAGACGGCGGCUAGUUGUGUGUGCAUGCGUAUCUAUCUGUUGGCAUAUUCUGGUUUGGUGGCUGUGUGCUUGUUCAAGCAGGCCCAGUGAUGGCCGGGGUGUGUCAGUGGGUGGUUGUGUGUGUGGCACUUUUCAGGGCCAACAGUCUGUGGUGUUGUGGUAGACUAUCCACCUGACCCGUCUUGAAACACGGACCAAGGAGAGUAACAUGUGCGCGAGUCAUUGGGCGUAACGAAACCCACAGGCGCAGUGAAAGUAAAGGUCUGGCUUGUCCAGUCUAAGGUGAGAUCCUGUCGUUGUUCAUGCGCGGUACCACCAAGCUUGGAGCGAUAGGCGCAUCACCGGCCCGUCCCAUAACGUGGUCACAGUCUCCGGAUUGUGCGCCGUGGGGGCGGGGCAUGAGCGUACAUGUUGAGACCCGAAAGAUGGUGAACUAUGCUUGCGCAGGUUGAAGCCAGAGGAAACUCUGGUGGAGGACCGCAGCGAUUCUGACGUGCAAAUCGAUCGUCAAACGUGAGUAUAGGGGCGAA